AUGAUUAGUUCUUGUUCCAAGGGGAUACCAUGGGACUAUGUUAUCCUCUCAACUCUGGCAUGCCUUUGUGUUAAUGUUUGGCGUCGUGACUGUGAGGUAGGUCGAGGCACUUGUGUCCAUGUGCCUCUGGGACUUUGUCGACAAAGUGACCAGGCAACUUCUGACGACAACAUAGGCACUUGUGUGUCCAUGUGCCUCUUGAUCAUUUGUGGAUUCAAGAUAUUUGCCUUGUCAAGCCAAUUCAGGGAUAUAAGUCUGUUGGCAAAGACGCUCCUUCUGGAAGCCUGCCCGACGAACAACUUGAGGCUGAGUGCAGAGAGGUGCUGCAUGUCUCUUAUCUGA
rnacentral:rRNA from 1 species